rnacentral:rRNA from 1 species
CGGGUGAGUAACACGUGGGUGAUCUGCCCUGCACUUUGGGAUAAGCCUGGGAAACUGGGUCUAAUACCGGAUAGGACUACGGCCUGCAUGGGUUGUGGUGGAAAGCUUUUGCGGUGUGGGAUGGGCCCGCGGCCUAUCAGCUUGUUGGUGGGGUGAUGGCCUACCAAGGCUGCGACGGGUAGCCGGCCUGAGAGGGUGUCCGGCCACACUGGGACUGAGAUACGGCCCAG